AGCGAACGCUGGCGGCAGGCUUAACACAUGCAAGUCGAGCGGGCAUCCUUGUGGUGUCAGCGGCAGACGGGUGAGUAACGCGUGGGAACGUGCCCUUCGGUUCGGAAUAACUCAGGGAAACUUGAGCUGAUACCGGAUACGUGCGAGAGCAGAAAGGUUUAUCUGCCGAAGGAUCGGCCCGCGUCUGAUUAGCUAGUUGGUGAGGUUAUGGCUCACCAAGGCGACGAUCAGUAGCUGGUCUGAGAGGAUGAUCAGCCACACUGGGACUGAGACACGGCCCAGACUCCUACGGGAGGCAGCAGUGGGGAAUAUUGGACAAUGGGGGCAACCCUGAUCCAGCCAUGCCGCGUGAGUGAUGACGGCCUUAGGGUUGUAAAGCUCUUUUCUUCGGGACGAUAAUGACGGUACCGGAGGAAUAAGCCCCGGCUAACUUCGUG
rnacentral:rRNA from 1 species